rnacentral:rRNA from 1 species
GACGAACGCUGGCGGCGUGCCUAAUACAUGCAAGUCGAGCGCAUGCACCCGGCGGACCUCUUCGGAGGGAAACCGGGGAAUUGAGCGGCGUUCUGGUGAGUAACACGUGGGCAACCUGCCCUCCAUACGGUGAUAACUCCGGGAAACCGGAGCUAAUCCCCGAUAAUCAAGCCGAUCUCCUGAUCGGCUUUUAAAAGCAUGGUCUUCUGACCAUGCACUGGAGGAUGGGCCCGCUGCGUAUUAGCUAGUUGGAGAGGUGAGGGCGCCCCAAGGCGACGAUACGUAACCGACCAGAGAGGGGGAGAGGCCAAACUGGGACGGGAGCACGGCCCAGAACACUACGAGAGGGAGAAGUAGGGAAUUAUCCGCAGAGGAAGAAAGUCGGAAGGUGCAACGACGCGUGAGAGAUGAAGGUUGUCGGAUCGUAAAGGUCAGGUGGGAGGGAAGAACAAGAGCGGUUCUAACAGGGGCGCACAAUGACGGUACCUGACCAGAAAGCCCCGGCUAACUACGUG